rnacentral:rRNA from 1 species
UACAGAGGUCUCAAGCGUUGUUCGGAUUCAUUGGGCGUAAAGGGUGCGUAGGCGGCGGGGUAAGUCAGGUGUGAAAUCUCGGGGCUCAACCCCGAAACUGCACUUGAUACUGCCUUGCUCGAGUACUGGAGAGGAGAUUGGAAUUUACGGUGUAGCAGUGAAAUGCGUAGAUAUCGUAAGGAAGACCAGUGGCGAAGGCGGAUCUCUGGACAGUUACUGACGCUGAGGCACGAAGGCCAGGGGAGCAAACGGG